GACGUAGGGCGCGAGCGUUGUCCGGAUUUAUUGGGCGUAAAGAGCUCGUAGGCGGCUUGGUAGGUCCGCUGUGAAAACUCGAGGCUCAACCUCGAGAUGUCGGCGGAAACCACUUGGCUAGAGUCCGGAAGAGGAGAGUGGAAUUCCUGGUGUAGCGGUGAAAUGCGCAGAUAUCAGGAGGAACACCGGUGGCGAAGGCGGUUCUCUGGGAAUGUCCUGACGCUGAGGAGCGAAAGUGUGGGGAGCGAACAGG
rnacentral:rRNA from 1 species